GAUGAACGCUGGCGGCGUGCCUAAUACAUGCAAGUCGAGCGAACAGAUAAGGAGCUUGCUCCUUUGACGUUAGCGGCGGACGGGUGAGUAACACGUGGAUAACCUACCUAUAAGACUGGGAUAACUUCGGGAAACCGGAGCUAAUACCGGAUAACAUAUGGAACCGCAUGGUUCAAUAGUGAAAGGGGCUUUGCUGUCACUUAUAGAUGGAUCCGCGCCGUGUUAGCUAGUUGGUAAGGUAACGGCUUACCAAGGCAACGAUACGUAGCCGAACUGAGAGGGUGAUCGGCCACACUGGAACUGAGACACGGUCCAGACUCCUACGGGAGGCAGCAGUAGGGAAUCUUCCGCAAUGGGCGAAAGCCUGACGGAGCAACGCCGCGUGAGUGAUGAAGGUCUUCGGAUCGUAAAACUCUGUUAUCAGGGAAGAACACAUGUGUAAGUAACUGUGCACAUCUUGACGGUACCUGAUCAGAAAGCCACGGCUAACUACGUG
rnacentral:rRNA from 1 species